GGGAGGCACAGCCUUGUUAACCUCAGAAGAAGAAAAUGAAUGAAGUGAAGCUCAUGAAUGACCCGAGAGGAGGAAGGAGCUGCUCUCCCAGAGCACCGGCUGACAGCACGCUGAGAGGUGAUGCUUUGCCAUGUACUGCAAGAACAGGUCUGGUGAAAUUCCCACAUGCAGUCUUUAUUCUGCUCUCUUAAAUGAUCGUCUCCUUUUAAUCACCAGCUAGAGAAUUAACCUGCCGAACAAAGGCACUUUCAGCAUUUUACAUAUUCAGCAGCGUAAUAAAAGACAAACUUAUGCUAAAACAUCAAAAAUUCUGUGAAACCAAAGGAGAGACAAAGAAAUUCUUGGGGUGGGGCGGGGGGGAGGGAAGUGUUGCUGUGAAACGCAGCAAUGCACAAAACUUUGAGUGCCCACCUGCGCCACGUCCCAUCCACACCUCAACCAGAACAGCAAUUUAUCACCACGUCGCUUCGUUGCUUUAUUAGCCAUAAACACAGCAAUGGCCCACGCCUAUAAAAAGCAGGUCGAAAGGGGGUAAUUAAAGCAGAAUAAUUGACCAGCUUCAGGCUGCAGCAGGGAGCGGGGUGUCAAUCUGGUACUUUUAUUAACGCGAGCGCCUCGUGACAAUGAAGGGAACGGUGGAGUUUGGAGGGGGGCUCAGUACAAAACCACUGCGGAGCCGAAUCCAGGAGCCUGAGCUCUUUAAUCUCACCCUGCUUGGUUGCGAAGGUCCCCGGAGAGGUUGGUGUUUGUAGAUUAAUCAGCAGCAUCCAUUCGGUGAGGGCUCCCCUUCUCUGCACGCCUGAGCAAGGUCACCGUGUGGUGCCGGUAACGCACCAAUGCGCCGCAGCAGCCUCAGUUUGCUCAUUAGUAUUCUGCACGUUGCAUGGGUUAAAUUUGCUGUUUCAUUAAGAAGGCUCCUGUUUGCAUUUUCCUUCCGUAUCGUGGGCCUCAUCAGAAGAAACAGGUGCUACUGGUAGAGAUCCAAUAAGCGUUUAUACAUAUUUACAGCAAAUACUGGACACAGCCCUAUGCUUAAAAUCCUGAAUAUUCAAUGAGCAGCUAUUUCUUUGCAUUACAAUAGAAAGAAAGAGGAAAGAAAGGCUAAUUUGGAAUUAAGGGCUGUAAAUAUUUGUGGAAAAUGAGGGGUAAAAAUCACAGUGUGAAUGGAUAGAGGAGAGUGGCACAGAUGCACUCCAAGCCUGGACCUGGAGCAGGCUCCCAGUGUCUGGGUAAAUAUAAAGCCCAAUCACUACCUUCAUUUAUUCCAGUUGCCCAGUAUACCACGGUGCUGAUGACUCAAUGCACCUGACGAUGUCCAGAGUACCCCACAAGCUUGCUUUCCUCCACGGCUUCUACUCCACAAACCCAAGGUGCAGACACAGCUACCACGAUGAUGGAAACAACCCACCCUGAGUCCUGCAGCACAGGGUGCAGCCAAAGAUCUUCCUCUUUUUAUUUUUGUUAAUAAUUACCAAGGUCCUUCCUUCCUACGUCAGUUUCUAGGUCUAAUUCAUCCUGAGCCCAGCCCUGUGCCAUCGUGGCCAUUAGCCAUUUUUGCUUUCAAUUGCCUAUUCCAAACAUUAAUGUGUGCCCGUGUUCUCAUGGAGGCUGUUAAAAGGUACACUCUUGAAGUUCCCAGGCUCUCGUAAUAACACAGAAAAAUGUCACUCUUUACACCAGCUACGCUGGUGCUACAAUUACCCAUUGACUGGCUUGGCUUUAACGUUGGAUCACUACCCGGUAUUUGAAAUAUUCAGUUAAAGGCAGAUAUAAAUAAAUAAAUAAUCUGCUCCCAUCAGGAAACAGAGAGAGAGAGAAAGCCCCAGAGUCUCCAAGCACUCCUCACAAAGAGUCCCUUAAAACCCUUCUAUGAAAAAAAAAAAAAAAAAGGAAGAAAAAAAAAAAAGAGAGAGAAAGAAAAUAAAGGAAACCCAGCUAAUAACACUUUUCCACAUAAAUAAUGUAGAUUGUAACUGGCCUUUGCAGAAGCCUGAGCCCAACAGAGGUCCCUUUGUAAGGCUGAGCGCUGAUUGCGUACUGCUGGGCGCUUUCAUGAUGAUAGCUUUUCAGACGACGGCAUUGCAGCGCACUUAAAAUUAAUAAGCCAGGCUGCCUGCUCCCAGCAGCCCUGCCCAGAGGUGGACAUCACCCCAGCACAUGUCAAGCAGAAGGGCUGUGGUCCUUCCCCAGUGACAUUUCUGGGGCUUGCAGGCUACCUGCACCACUUCAAGCCUGUGCUGAAGUUUGCCCCUACAACAAUAAUAAGGGAUUAGAUGGCACAGCCACCUGCAGUGGGAGGAGAGGGGAUUUGCCACCCCUGCUCCCAUCCUUAAUGAAGCACUGCGAUAAGCCCUAAUGCAUACAUAUCCUUGGGAGAGGAGGUUGCUGUAAAGCCUCUUGCAAGGUCUGUAGUGCCGAGGGCGGCUGUGUCAGCCUGCAGAGUGCUUGGAAAAAACACCCUUCGAAAUAUAACAGUGCUCCCUGUUCUCUCUCCUCAUACAUUAACACUUGCAAAUAGUCCAUAAAUAGACCUUUUUCUUUUCUCAGUGGGAAAAUGUGGAUGCAAAGCAGCACCUCUCGGUCUUGCUGGGCGCCCAAGCCUCUUCCGCUACAUCUUCCAGUCUGGUCAUCCAGUAUUUGGGGGUGCUGGGGGUUCUCUGCAAAGAAAGACACUGAGGCUCUGGAGUGUGUACAAAGAAGGGCAAUGAAGCUGUGAAGAGUCAGGAGCACACGUCUUAUGGGGAGCAGCUGAGGGAACUGGGAUUGUUCCAUUUGGAGAAAAGGAGGCUUAGGGGACACCUUAUUGCUCUCUACAACACCCUGAAAGGAGGUUGUGAUGAGGUGGUGGUUGGCUUCUUCUCCCAGAUAACAGUGAUAGGACGAGAGAGAAUGACCUUAAACUGUGUCAGGGGAGGUUCAGGUUGGAUAUCAGGCAACAUUUCU
rnacentral:lncRNA from 1 species